AUUUCUUUGCGUCUAAAAAUGUUUUGAGAGUUUUUUUGCCACGACUGCACCCUGAGACAAAGUCAGUGUUUGUCACAACGUUCACGUUGAACCUGGCAGGAAGACAGGCUGAGCCACGAAAGGUGGAUGGCUGGACCCGGAUUUGGGCACAAUUGUAACCCUAAGAUGGGUAACGGGGACUCAAUUGUUGGAAUGGUAUUGAAACCUUCCCUGGAACACUUGUGCAUUUCUCACAAGAAUAUAAAAUGAUGUAGCUGCCUUUUGAAACUGUUUGGCAUCUAAUCAACUAAACAGAGUCACUACUGUAUGGCCCAGGAACCCCACUCCUGGGUAUUUAUCUAAAGGAAUAAAAACCUUGACUCCCCACAAAAAUCUCUACACAACUGUUUAUAAAAGAAUUGUAACAGUAGCUCCAAAUCGACUUUGAAUAAAGAAAAUGUGGUCUACUUUUACAAUGGACUGUCACUUCAAAACAGGAAUGAAGUAUGGAUUCCCGAACUGCCAUCAGAGAGACCUUGGAUAGAUUGCACUCUGUGAAAGAAGUGGACUCAGAAGGUCACGCACUGUCUAAUCUGCCUUAUGUGAAAGGUCCAGAAUAGGCAACUCUGCAGAUGCAGGAAGCAGGAAGCUGUGCCAGACCUGGGGGGAAGGUGUGAGAAGGAAGUGAAGUGAGUGUGAAUUGGCUGCUGCUGCUUUGGAAGUGACCAAGAUGUUCUGGAAUAGUGAUGACAUCUAAGCCCUGGAAUGAAUCAAAGCCCACCAGGGUGAAUUUUAUGGCCUGAGAAUUUCAUCUCAAUAAAACAUUUUUGUUUGUU
ensembl:antisense Plet1os placenta expressed transcript 1, opposite strand